rnacentral:lncRNA from 1 species
AUGGCGGCCACAGGAAUAGACGGACAAUCCAAGUCGGGCUUGGGAGAGAGCACUUUGCUGAUGGGUAGUUCAGAGGUCCUCAAGGGAAGCCACCUGUGCUCUUGGCCUGGGAGGCACCUUAGGGGCCGCCCCGUCCAAUCCUCUCAUCGCAUACUUGAGGAGACGUGCCAAGGAGUAGCAGAGAUCACCGAGAUCAUCCAUAUUGGGGCCAGACUUGGAUCCAGGGCUUCUCACUCUCCAGCCAUGGCUCAUUGGCUGAAUCUCCUGCCCAAUGAAGGACAGGCUGAGAUUGGACCCCCUGUGGCCUUGGCCCCUCCUUUGGCACCGGCUUUGGGUGUGAGAUCUGCUUUAACUUUCCAGAGCGGGACCUUUUCCAGGAGGCUUCGGUAGCCUGGGUUUUCUCCUCUGAGAGCUGCCUGUUCGCCCCCUCGCCCUGUGAUUGAGGAAUGGAGGUUCCUUGGCUUUAAAAGGAGGGUGAUAAUCCCCAUGUGACUCACAGCCUAGAACGGGAGACUCCAAGUCUAUACUAUACUAGGGAGCUCUAGUAUAUCCCGCCACAGCCAACGGGCAUCCAGGCACUUUCCAGCUCUUUGCCACUCCCAAGAGAGUGUCCGACGGAGCCUCUGAUCUUUCUGGGGCACAAGGAUGUGCCGGGGGUUGUGCGUGACCAAGCCUGGGGUUUCACUGCCCAGGAUCCUGCCAGGCUGCCCUUUCUCCGGAAGUGGCAGCAUUCGGAGGGUUUGCCUGGUGACUCUGAGAGGUCCCACUGGCUCACCAGCCAAGAGUGUCGGAAGCAGCUCUGCCUUGGAGGCCCCUCUUUCCCCUCUUCCGUGCUGGCUCGCCUGACGAAGUUCCUCCCCUCAGAACAAUUCCAGUCGGCCUCUAGAAGUCCCUGCUUUGCAAUGCCAACUUUGCCGUCUGGCUUUGGGCUCGCGUAAAUGUUUCUCGGUUUCUCAGGACUCAAGCUUCUGCCUUCGCCGAUCAGAGCGCCCAGGAUACAGGCGGAAAGUCAAAGCUCGUCUCCUUCGCUCUCAAACGGCAGCUAUUAAAAAAGAAGCCCCCGACAGGAAAAUGGCUCCCUCGAACUCUUGGGCUUGCCCCCAAACCCUUUGGACGCUGCUCCAGGAAAGGGCCCCUUGGAGGGUCCUUCAUUUGGAUGAAGUGAUAGAAUUGGGGGGAACCUUCACUCUAAUUCAGAGAAGCUUGAGUGAGCGCCUGCUCUGGCUGGAGCCCUUCACGCGGCUUUAUAGGGGAGCUGAGGGGUGAUCACAGCGGUCACGGAGCUUUUGAAGCUGGAGCACAGAACUGUACUGAGGCUAAUUAGACUAAUGAGGGAAAAGGAUGUUACCUACCCUGAUUCUAACCCUAAAGAGCAUUGGCCCAGACAAGG